rnacentral:rRNA from 1 species
GACAGAGGCCUCAAGCGUUAGGCGGAAUCACUGGGCUUAAAGCGUGUGUAGGCGGAUGCCUAAGUACCUUGUGAAAUCCCACGGCUCACCCGUGGAACUGCUGGGUAUACUGGGCGUCUUGGGCCAUUUAGGGGCAACUGGAACAAGCGGUGGAGCGGUGAAAUUCGUAGAUAUUGGGAGGAACACCGGUGGCGAAGGCGGCGACCUGGGUUGACACUGACGCUGAGGCGCGAAAGCGUGGGGAGCAAACAGG